rnacentral:rRNA from 1 species
UACGUAGGGUGCGAGCGUUGUCCGGAAUUCUUGGGCGUAAAGAGCUCGUAGGCGGUGUGUCGCGUCGGCCGUGAAAACCUGGGGCUCAACUCUGGGCGUGCGGUCGAUACGGGCAUCACUUGAGUUCGGCAGGGGAGACUGGAAUUCCUGGUGUAGCGGUGAAAUGCGCAGAUAUCAGGAGGAACACCGGUGGCGAAGGCGGGUCUCUGGGCCGAUACUGACGCUGAGGAGCGAAAGCAUGGGUAGCGAACAGG